rnacentral:lncRNA from 1 species
CACUUGGUGCACGGAACUGCCCUCCCUCCGCGCGGUCCCCUCCGCGCACCCCGGGGACGCGCAGAGGCCGCCCGCGCGCGCCGCGCCUGGUGUCCGCGGAGGGCGGCGCCUGCGCAGGGCCCGGCGCGGCGGCGCGGCCUUUGAAGUCCCGGCGGCUGCCGCUUUCAUCCUCUCUUUUUUCCCUUGCAGGCCCCUUUGUGUGACUAAAUUUGGCAAGAAUAUGGAUCCGCGCCAGUCUUUCCACGUGUGCUCCCAGCUCCCAGCUGAGAAGGCCAAGGGUUCUCUUCCGGCCCCCUGGAAGGUCACCCCACGGAGAUGUCUACCCUGGUGCCCGCGUGAUGUGUUUACACGUUUUCCCUGCCUCCUGUGUCCAUCAGCCCCUUGAGCAUGACUGCCUCUGAGCAAGCAUUCAAAACACAAGACAAGACCAGUCAUUUACUGGACCUCGCCACUGCUGCACGCCAUGUGUCACGUAUGUCCCUUCUAAUCCUGGAAGCAAUUUGUAAAGCAGAACAUCUCCAUCUUGCA